rnacentral:rRNA from 1 species
UACGGAGGGUGCAAGCGUUAUCCGGAUUCACUGGGUUUAAAGGGUGCGUAGGUGGGCAAGUAAGUCAGUGGUGAAAUCUCCGGGCUUAACCCGGAAACUGCCAUUGAUACUAUUUGUCUUGAAUACUGUGGAGGUCAGCGGAAUAUGUCAUGUAGCGGUGAAAUGCUUAGAUAUGACAUAGAACACCAAUUGCGAAGGCAGCUGGCUACACAAAUAUUGACACUGAGGCACGAAAGCGUGGGAAUCAAACAGG